ACUUAUGAUACUUCACCCUGAAUAUGCCUAACCUUGGCUGCUAAGCAGGGUUGGGGUCAGACAGAACUUGAAUGGGAGACUUCUUGGGAAUGCUAAGUGAUGUUAGCU
rnacentral:rRNA from 1 species